AUUUUUUUGGUUUUUCUCCGGUACCAGGAACUGAACUCACGACCUUGCGCUUGCCAGGCAGGUGCUUUGCUGCUGAGCUAAAUCCCCAGCCCUGCUAAGUCAGUUUAGACUAGGAAAAAAUGCCCACUAAACUUAAUUACAAAUUGAAUUCAUAAGAUUAAGAAAUAUUUCUAUUUUUUUGGUGAGAGGAAUGCAGCGGAAAGUAAGGAAACUAAGUGAAGUAAGUUGGUGGUUAAGAUUUAGCCACAGCAGUUUUCUUUUUUUUUUUUUGAGACACAGUUUCGCUAUGUAGUUCAGGUUGGACUUGAGCUUGCUGUGUAAUUAGGUUGGCCUCGAACUCUUGGUGAUUGAGGUGAUUACAGGCGUGUGCCACCAUGCCUGGCCAGGGUGGAAGUUAGCUUCUGCAAUUUUAAGUUAAAAACAUUUAGAGGCGUCACUAGAAUGAUGUGUAGCUCUCUGGCCGAAGUCCCUAGGAGGGAGUUGGUAGCACAACAGCCCAGCAAGAACUGGCAGCAAGGACGGAUUUUAUUUAGAGGGCACCUGGCUCUGAAGGGCCAGAACAGCAACUGUCCUGCAGAGUGAGAGGGUUACAAGCGGUAGCAGAGAAGCGGGGAGCUGGAGACUGUUCUGGCAUCCGUCAUUGUAGGCUGUGCCCACUGGUCUGUUUCCUGUUUUCCUAAAGUUCCCGUUCCCCUGGAGCUGAGGGCCUCUUGGUCUGGAAUGGUCUGUUCUAUAAACAGGAGCCGGGCCAGUGAGAGAAUUGGUAUUGUGGUGAGGGUAAGACAAUGGAAGGGGCAGAAUUCAUGUGAAGAUGACCUCUGUGCUUUUCCUUGCAGUUUGGGGUGUGUCCCGGGGCCACAGUGCUGCGUCCUCGAUCUCUCCUGCUCUGCAGUUUCCAGCUUCUUUGACAGAGCAGCUGAUAGAUCCUAUGGUUCUCCAGGAAGCAAAUGGCCAUGUGGAUUCUCCUGUCUCUGAUCCUGUAAGCCUCCCUAAGAAAGCCCCUUACACAACUGCAUAUGUAUUGCUUGAUUCUGUUCUGUUCUGU
rnacentral:lncRNA from 1 species